rnacentral:rRNA from 1 species
GACGUAGGGGGCCAGCGUUGUUCGGAAUUACUGGGUGUAAAGGGUUCGUAGGCGGUGCGGCAAGUUGGGAGUGAAAUCUCUGGGCUUAACCCAGAGGCUGCUUCCAAAACUGCUGUGCUUGAGUGUGGGAGAGGCGCGUGGAAUUGCAGGUGUAGCGGUGAAAUGCGUAGAUAUCUGCAGGAACACCCGUGGCGAAAGCGGCGCGCUGGACCACUACUGACGCUGAGGCGCGAAAGCUAGGGGAGCAAACGGG